GAAGGAUCCACCCAGAUAGUUGUCGAUAGAUCUGGUAGCUGACGAGCGAUUUCGCUGGGUAACUGGCGGUGUCGAAGCCUCGUGACAAAGGCCGCCAAGGGCAGUUGAGCAAUCCAGCGGGCCGUAACGUGAGUGAAGCCUGAGCAGGCCUCGCAAGUGAUGAUGCAGAUGCCGACCCGCCUGAAUUACGUGGAAGGCCGCGUGGAUGGGUAAGGUAUCGACGUAUGCCCCCAUCCGAUCUGCCGGGGUAGUGGGCCC
rnacentral:ncRNA from 1 species